rnacentral:lncRNA from 1 species
GUGGGUUCUUCUUUUUCUCAGGUUGGCGCUUUGAAACUCUGUGACUUUGUGUUUGCAGUGAUGAAUAUAUAUGUGAAGGAAAGGUCCAUGGCUUUGGUGUGGCUUCUAUUAUGAGACUAACUGACAGGGGACAGGACCAUGAGCUUGGUACAUGCAUUGGUGGUUAUCAAUAUUCAGAUUUGAUUUUUCUGGACCAUUGCUUGGUGCACCGUCAUGGCAAGGAUAGUGGACUAGUAGUUGGGCAAUCAGAUAUAUACUACAGUACCAGCUGCUGAAUUGGGCAGAGACAUAGUUCAGCUUUACGAAGGUCUUCCAUCUGUUGCAGUGUCCUCUAUCAAUUAAUUUGGAGAUAAGCUGGUCGAGCUUGACCAAAACAAUCAUAUUGAAUGAUUUGGGAGUGUAUCUUUUAUUCAAUGAAAAACUCAAAUACUGCAUAAUUUGGCGAAAUCUAUGGGUGUUAGCCAGCAAGUUGCUGUUUCUCGCUUCUGAAGAUUAGCACUCAGAUUGUUUCAUUGCAUGGUACACAGUUACAUUGUGAGAGAUUGGAUGAUUGUUCAAGAAGAAAUGGAGCAGAGAUAUUAAGACAUACACUGCAAAUCUCUAAUCUAGCAAACUGGGUUGUUGUAUUGUACGAUGUCUUGAUCGAUGCAGCUCUGGUGUUCGACAACAAGUGAAGUCUAUGCACCUUAAACUGAAAUUAAUUUCGAAAACUGUCAAAACUAACGAAUUCACACAUGUUCAUACUCGCAAAAGCAUGUAUGCCAUCAGUGUAUUUGGCGUUCCAGACAUUUCAUUUGCUUUUUUGUCGAUUUUCAUGCAAGACUUUGACUGAUUUGUUCAACCAACUUGAAUUCAGAUGCAUCACCUGUACUUCAUCAUUGGAUAAAACAGACGGGGUGCAAACCUGACUGCAACCUGCGAGCUUCUCGGUGUACUACGCUAUAUCAGCGCCGCCAAAGCGCCUCCGCAUUCUCUCCUCCUUCGACCAAGUCGGUGACCUGGUGUUGCUCGUGAACGCCGUGUUGGUUCCAUCAAGGACGAUGGGAAAUGUAGGUUAGAGUUCGCUGGAGAUGAGGCAGCCAGGGGGGACGGAGAAGGGGAGGGGGAUGAAGCCAUGAAGGGUCCAAUAAGGCGGAUGAUGACGGAGGCCAAGUGGAGAGCUGGACUGCUGGAGGCGACGCCGGAGAAUUGGCAGACAGAUGCGGUUAGAAGGGGGUGGUUGGGAAACUUGCACUUCAAGUAACCGUGCAGAAACAUCAUUGUAGGUGUCGCCCCCACCAGCGUGGUUUAGGAAUGGUGCCGGCGAGGAAGAUGAACAAGAGGAAGUGGGGGAGGAAGACCGAAGUAGGGGGUUUUAUGCAAAAAGUUAGAUCACGAUUAUUUAGGGGGGUUUAUGCAAAUAUUUGGAUCGCGAUUAACGGUCGCGAUCCAUUUUAGGGGGUUAUCUGUAAAAGUUCCGCCGCCCCUCUUCCACGGUUCGCUGCCGGAGGGGGCGCCUGGCGCGUCCGCGGCGGUGCUUGGCGUGGGCGGCCACCGCGACCUGCGGCCGCGAGCUCGGCGGUGGUCCGGUAGAAGCGGUCACCUCCCUGUGCUGGUCCCUCGUGUUCCACUGGGCCCGCUGGCCGCCGCUUUACUUUGUUGACCGCUUGCCGGUCAAGUGCGGCGCUAGCGUCGUCCCCAGUCCGCUUGAGUGCUUCUCGAGUCAGAUCGUUGGGUGAAGCUGCUGCGGAACCGGCGGGAGGCGCAGGUGCGGCAGAUGCGCCGCGACAUCGCCGCGCUCCUCCGCGACAAGCAGGAGGACACCGCAAGAAUCAGGGUGAGCACUCAGCACCAGUUGGUUUUAUUUAUGUGCGUUGCAGAUUAGUUCGUCGGAGAAACUUGGGUUGCUGAUGCUGUUUAGACAGAGUGGUACCUUUAUCUCGGCCUGAGAUCCCUUGAAUCGGAAGCUGCGCCUGCGCGUGUUCUUCAUUUUCGAUCUCGCGGUAUAUAGGCCUGUUUUUUAUGCGAAUUUCCAGGUUUCCAGAGCAUGGGGGAUCCUGAUGUACAAUGACAAGAAAUUCCGUAUGUGUUAAUUGGAAAACAUUAAUCCUAAGAGAUUAACUGCCUUGCACAAUCAGAAUUGGGUUACUUUGUAAGAGAUUAAAUGCUUUAAACAUGACGCUUCUUUGGAUUAAUAACAUUGAGAUAAGGAAACUUCUUAAUUAUCCUUUAAUUUUCUGAACAAUGGUGCCACAGUUUUGAAGUUUAGCCCUUAAAAUAAGUCGUGUAAGUAAAUUAGGUAUGUGAACCUCUGCAAAUUGCUUUGUUUACCCUGAGGUUCUUUUGAUUCCUUCGCUCUUGUGCUGUCAUAUGUUCUUCAGAAACAGGGUAGAAAAUUUUGAUGCGGACCGAUUUCGUAUAAUUAUUACUAAUCCAUGUACUUGGCAAUUUUGCAGGUUGAACAUGUAAUUAGAGAACAGAACUUCAUGGCAGCCAAUGAGAUCAUUGAACUCUUCUGUGAGUUGAUUGUUAUGCGUCUCCCCAUCAUUGCAAAGCAAAAGUUUGUCCUGCGCAACCCUUGGCUUCAAAAAUUACAAAUGGAAUGGUCUUUUAAACUUUAUGCUAGUGUCAAAAAUGAAAUUAUAGUGAUGCCAUUUAUGUUCAUUUACGAUGAUAUCCUUAUACUACAUAUAUUACUCAUGUAUACUACCCAUGUAACAGGUGAAGGUUUUAGUAGUAUACAAUUAAUCUUGACCGUCAGAUGUUUUUAUACUAGUCCUUUCUGAACACUAGUAUAGCCUAGUAUUGUGUUCCGUAAAAGAGCUCAUUUGCAAUAGCAUUAGUUCAUUCCUCAUACAUGUCUUUUUAUUCUCUUGUGCAGCUCUAGGUAGUCAGAUCAUGAAUAUGACAAUGGGGACACUAUGCAAUUGAAAGAUGCUGCUUCAGCUGCUCGAGCAGCUGCAGAGUCUGCUGAGAGAGCAGCAUCUGCUGCCAAUGCUCCAGCUGAUUUUGCCAAUAAGAACAACCACCCAUUUGAUGAAGUCGAAGAUUGCAAAGAUUCAGCUCAUGAAUACACUCAUCCCCGCAAGAGGCAGUCAAUGAGCAACUCAAGCAGACCAUCCAGGAAAGAAGACACAGAUGCCUUUGAUGAACUAAAACCCCACGGAGGGAAAGCAUCCAGCACAGGAAGCUUCAGCGGAACGAACCACGUGGAAGACACAGUUAACUAUCCUGCGGAUUUGGACACUAGGAAGACACGCAGAAGGAACAGCCGUGCUGCUCGGAAGGUGCACUCAGAGAUUAAGUUUGACGAUUCUGAGGGACUGUAUUCAGAGUCAGAGGAUGAAAAUGAUGUGGAGAUACAGUCGGUAGAAAGACCACUACCUCCUACGAGAGAGCCUUUUUCAGAAAACCGUCACUCUGAAGAGGAAGGGCCAGAUAAUGAUUUCCCUGAGCUGCCAAAGGCAAACCAUCAAUCUCGUGUUCAUCCAAAUAUGCCUCUCGACUACGAAACUCUCACUGCACGCUUUGAGGCGCUCAAGAUCGGCAAGCUUCCGUAGUGCAACACGAAGAGCAGGCUCACUAUGUUACAUUCUCUCUUAAUGCUUCUGUACAACAACAUAUCACAUAUUAGUAGGUUAUAGUGCGUCUCCUAGAGUAUUUGAUUUUGGCUUAGGUCAAGGAUUUGCCGAAUCAAACUAUUGCAGCAUUUGUAUUGUUCUGGUAAAUGUAGACCAUUUGAAAUGACAAAUCCAACUGUUUCUGCGAUCUGCGCAGGGCAAGUCCUUGUAAAAUGACCAAAUACAUGACAUGGUGCAAACAAUACCCGUAGCAAAACUCUGGAUACUCUGGAGUCUGGACUGAAAUUUUGAAACCAUGUAGUGACGUAUUUUGUCGCAAACGAACUCGUUUUCAUGGCAACUCUGUUCGUUUCAGUUUCGAUGGGAUUCAGUGGAGGGCCUGAAUGAAGGCACGAUUUCAUGAUUCAGUUCAGCUAAUGCCCGGCAUGGCUGUUGUGCCACAUGCAGUAACCUGAAGAAACUUUGUUGCCUCGUAACAAUGUGAUGAACCCAGUUAUCUCCGGUCCUCUGCAGCGAAUUAAACAUAUAUACAAAGAAUAAUGGCUCUCUAAUUUCUUGUACUUUUAACACCUUACUUGAUCGCUUGCAGGAUCAGAAGGCUCUGAAAACAAAACUAAUCUUUGGCCUACUACAUACACUGAACUGCAUGUGCAGCUCUAGACAGCAACCUGCUGUCCGGCUCCUACGCACGGCGCCACACGGCUCGCGUAGCGGCACGACGUCGCCAUGGUGCUGAGGAACGCCUGCUCCAGCUCGGCGGAGGCGCCCCUCCUGAGCAAGCACAUGGCGUACUCCACGACCGCGGCGUCGCAGGGCAGCGUGAUCCUGCCGCCGUCGCCGCCCGCGAAGCCGAACUCCUCCCUCGACAUCCGCAGGAGCUCCGCGAAGACCGCGGUGCCGAGGCACGCCAGCGGCACCUCGAACCGCGCCCCGUCGGCGCUGUACACCGCGCAGUGGCCCUUGCUCGCCACGGAGACGGAGGUGGAGCACUCGCCGGCUUCCUUGGACGCCGCCGUCCCCCAGGCGAGGCGCUUCCUCCCGAGCGCCGCCAUCCUCUGCCACUUCUUGGCUAGCUGAGCGAUCCUCUUGGCGCUGAUCAUGGUUGGUGACUUGGCCCUUCUCUUUCUUUCUCGACGAGAACACAGGAGUUUGCAGUGCUUUAACUUGUGUUGUGAAGCUGCGAGUGAUGGUGUUCAGAGGCCACCUGACCGUGAAUAUAUAGAUAGCUGGCACGACUCCAAAGUCUCCAAUGCAAUGGUUGGGCAAGGGAGGAGAGGAUGGAUGAGAUUCAGGUGGGGGCCGCGAGUGUUUGGCGCGUGCCGGUGCCGCUCGUGGGUGUGCCGCUUUCGGUGCCGGGAAGGGGCACGAGGACCCCAUGUCAAGCGUGGGUGUGCCGCUCGUGGCUUGUUCAGCUAGCGGCUGUGCCGUCAGAUACAUCAGCACAUGAACCUGUUUUCUUUCAGACUGAAAACAAGGCACUGCCCACAGCAAGAUGAGGGCAGGGAAGCAUGGGCUGAACGUUCCGAUUAGAUGGCAAUGUCAUCGGCAUGCUUCAAGAUCCAAUGACAAUAAAAUAAAAACGGGAAUGUAGAGAACUGCAAGAACGAAGCAGCCGAGAAAUGGAGCUCACAUGACGUGCUAGUGAUCCAGCUGCAGACCGCAAACUGAAGGAGUGAUAUGAAGCUGUCGAGCAAGUUGUGCUGGGCCGUUAGAGCAGGCUUGACUCGGUCUCUCAGAAACAAUGUGCUAGGCACAAAAAAGAUUUCAGAUAUGUUAGGAUAGGGGACACACUAGUCACAAACAGCAAUUGCACAACCACUGAAAAGAACUGGUACCGACAUUUGGACCCAAUUUACAUGAGGCAUUGCAGUAUGGCAGCACGUUGCGAUACCCAAGCACUGCAGCAAGUGGCAAACAGAUGGCCCCAUAGAAAUCAAAUCAAAGUCACACACCGAUUCACCUUGGAAUUGCAACAUUGCAUGUUCUUAGCUCGUGGCCUUGUCUCUUGCCAGCCUGAGUUGAUGGCUGCCCUUGAACCGUAUGCUUUCUCUUUCUUCUCAGUUCUCAGCUCUCACCUAUAAAUCCGUCAGCUUCGUGCCAACACUUCAUUCCAUCUGCAAGCUAAGCACUACACCUAGAAGCUGAACACACACCAGAUACAAAUUAAACUGCAGUUCUCUGAACUUCCAGCCAAGAAAAGCAGGAGAAGCAAGCAGCCAUGGUCAGCGCCAAGAGACUCGUUCAGAUGGCGAAGAAGUGGCAGCGAAUGGCUGGCCUGGCGAGGAAGCGGAUCACAUCGGCGCCGGCAAAGGAAACCGAAGGGCCCUGCAGCACGUCGACGUCGGUGGCCGGCAAGGGUUGCUGCGUCGUGUACUCGGCCGACGGCCGGAGGUUCGAGGUCCCGCUGGCGUACCUCGGCACGGCGGUCUUCGGCGAGCUCCUGAACAUGUCGCAGGAGGAGUUCGGGUUCGCCGGCGAUGAUGGCAGGAUCACGCUGCCCUGCGAUGCUGCCGUGAUGGAGUACGUGUUGUGUUUGCUCAGAAGAGACGCAUCGGAAGAGGUCGUGAGGGCGUUCCUGAGCUCCAUGGCGAGGCCUUGCCACUAUGGAAAUGGCUUGGCGCAAUCUAUGGGUGUUAGCCAGCAAGUAGCUGUUGCUAGCUUCUGAAGAUCAGCUAUAAGAGAUUGUUUUCUUUUUUCUUGCAUGGGAUAUGUAAAUACAUUGUUAGAAACUGGAAAAUAUAUAUGAUUGUUUCAAAAAGGAAACGGAACAGAGAUAUGCAGUUAUGCACUACAAGUUUUUUUUUUUAAUAUGGAGUAGCAAACUUGGGUACGGUGUUCUACGAUGUCUUGAUAAAUGCAGCUCUGCAAGUACGCCAUCAACUUAUUUGCCGUUCAAGACAUUUCACCAUACCGAGUGAUUUUCUAUGCAAGACUUUGACUCUUAUGUUCAACAAAAUGCAGCAACUGUACUUCAUCAUUGGAUAAAAAAUAGAUGGGUGCAAAUCUGACUCCAGGCUUCUACUCUGUCUCAGCCACGCCUCACCACUCAGUGCCACCAGAGCGCCCCAGCAUUCUCUGCUGAUCCUUCGACCAAGACGGUGGUCUGUUUCGUGAAAGCAAUGGUUGGUUUUGGUUCCCUUGAGGCGAAGGGAAAUUCGGGGUAGAUUUCGUCGAAGACUAGGCGGUCGGAGGACGGAGAAGGGGAGGGUAUGAAGGGAUCUGGUAAUGACGGAUGACGACAGAGGCCGAGUGGAGGUCUGGAGGGCUGGACUGCUAGAGGCGGCACCGGAGAAUUGGCAGGCGGAUGCGGUGAGGAGGUAGCUGGGAAACCAGCCGUGCUGGAACAUCAUCUUCGGUGUCGCCUCCACCGUCGUGGUUCAGGAACGGCGCCGGCGACGAAGACGAACCAGAGCAAGCGGGGGAGGAGUACCGAAGCAGGGGGUUUUAUGUAAAAAGUUGGAUCGCGAUUAUGUUAGGGGGUUUUCAGUAAAAGUUUUGCGCCCCUCGCCACCGUCCGCCGCCCUUUCAGAGCAAGAUCCGACCGGCGACGUCCUCGGCGAAGCCACCCAGGGUAGCCCACAACUGUGAGAUGCCGUUCCCACACGAGGAGGUGAAGGACAUGUCGUCCAGGGAGCGCUCGCUGGCGGAGAGAGCGCCAGGCGCGUCCGCGGCGCGGUUCCGCGCCCUGCGGCCGCGAGCUCGUCGGUGGAAGCGGCCACCUCCCUUUGCUGGUUCGGUGGUUCCUCGUGUUCCUCUGGCCCCGCCGCUUGCUGGUGGGCUGUGGCGUCAAGUGCGGCGCUAGCAUCCUCCGCUUGAAUGCUUCUCGCGUCAGGUCGUCAGCUGGAGCGCCAUCUCCAAUUCUCCAUGCCAUGCUCUGGUGAGAAUUCCAAAAGGCAAACUUGAUCAGAUUACUUGCUCAUAUGAAAACUGAAAUAGAAGGUUGAUGCUAUUAGAUCAUGACCACAAAUUCCUUAAGCUUUUUCAAAGCAAUUGGCGGUCUUAAUGUUGAUCUGCCAAGUCCGGAGCUUGUGCUGGCACAAUUGGCUUGGGCAUUUGCAGGACCCCAAUCUUCUAUACAGUUAAAUUGAUUUACUGGACCAACACCGUUUAGUGCAAUAUUCCUACUGCUACUAACAUUUUACAGAGUGACCACUUUAUUUUGGUCUAAGAAAACUCUUUCAGUUCACUGUAAAAUACCACUAGGCCAUUCUCUCUGCAUUUUCGGAUUGAAGCAUAUGUUAUACUGCAAGUUUCUCUCCUAACUGUAUGUAGGUUCAUAUGUGACUGUUCUUGGUUAUGGAAUGCACAUAUACUUGCCGUUCUUGACUGUUUCAAAGUAUAGCAACGCAAAGAUAAGGGUGAUUUUGCCUGUAGUUGCUGGUUUGCCAGGCUACUGCUAGAUUGGCUGCUACCUUGCAAGAUAAGAAAGCCUUCACAUCACAAUUUUCUCAAAGUUCUAGGAAGGAAUAAUGCGGCCAGCUCAUUGUGCUUGAUAGAAAUGUACAAUUGCCUUCUUUCCUUCUAACAUCUUCCAACUAUGUUAGAGUACUUUACAUGCAAGAGUGCAAAAGAUAUUACAUCAAUAUAUGCAAAAUCCUGCAUAUCUUCAGGAACUACUGUCUACUGCUUGUGUACAAAAUAUUUUAAUUACAUCAAUAUAUGCAAGAGUAGUUUACUCUGAACCAAAUUGUGUAUCUUGUACGCAUCGUUUACUGCUUACAGUAUACACUGUAUAUAGCUGAGGUCCAGUGAUAUACUGCUUAUACUAAGCAUCAGUCUGGGUCUACUUUAGAGUUUAUUGACAAUUUAAACUGAGUUGUCAAGGGACAAGGCCAUGAGAUGGGUGCAGGCGAGGUCUGCACCAUGAUUGAUUGGAUUAGAUUUUGAUUGGUUCAACUGUUGGGCGCAUGCCAGACUCACUAGCUGCGAAGUGUGAGUGCUGGUCACUUUCUGUCAUCUGCUACCAUGCUGAACGGCAGCGGGAACAAGAGGUGUGGUCUGGAGGAGAACGUGUUGAUUGUGGCAGCCCAACGUUUGGCCUGCUUCUCUUGUUGGUACUGUGCAAGGAGAUACUGAUGGCUUCCAGACUGAUAUUAAACAACUGCGGAUGAUCACUGAUUGGAUGCCCAAUUGGCCAAAUUUGAUGUUCUUCCUGGAGCCAUAUGAUUAUAUGAAUUGUGAUAUGCAUCGUUCACGCUUCUGAUAUGCCUGUGAAACCUUGUGCCCACAAUAUCUGUUCGGUUUCCCAUCUCACGUGGUGCUUAACUGCUUAUUGAGUUCAUUUCCUACAGAGCACAGAUACAAGACUGAAUCAAAAUGGUUGGUAUCAUUUCUCUGAAGGCUUUAUCACACUUCCAAGCUGAAGCAGGCAUCUCUGAAACGUGUACCUGUUGGCUGUUCAUUAUACAUCAAUACGCACGUACCAUGCUAUCAUCAUAGAAUUAAAGUUGGUAGUCCAUAUGUAUUGAAUUGUUCUGAAUGUGGUCAUGUUGAAGUGUGCUGUGUCCCAUUUCUACAUCUUUUCAGUUUCUGCACAGACCCUUUCUUUUAUUUUGAGGUGUUUUGGCAAUUGGAAUUUCUUCGGAGGCACGUUCUGUUACAUAUAAAAGUGCCGCAACCGGCAACACCCUAGCCCUCCUAUCCCGGCCACUCAAUCCGCAGCUGCGCUGGUGCAGCCGUGCACAGUUCUCCCAUCUUCCUCCUCCCGAUCAAAUAAAAACCAGAUCUUCGAUCCCAGCAGCCAAUCCCCAUGGUGUGCGUCGUCUUGAAUCCAAGCCGUCGAUGCUGGGCUCUCUGAAUUGUCAAAACCGAGCUAGGGGAAGCCUACAAAAUCCUGAUGAAGCUAAGGGGCGAGAGUUUUCUUGGGUGUUGUCUACACUAUUUGAGUGUCCUAGAUGGGAAUGAGAGGCAUUGGGGAAACUUGCUGUGCGAGGUGAGUAAGAAGAGUUGCUAAAACAUAGACAUGGGCCUUUACUACGGCUCCUUUUCCCCCUCAUCCUAUCUACAGAUCUGUAUGAGUUGAAAAUCUGAAAAAUUAUAUGAGAGGUGCCGGAGCUUCGGAAUCUGAAGCUUUGCGUGAUUCUACAAUUGAUUUGCUGCGGAAUUUUUGCAGAGGUGAGCGACCGUCAAAUACAAUGGUGAUCUCUCGGGGGAUGGGGCGUGGUCCAGCAAGACUGCGCAUGGCGGCAAGCGUGACGAAACACAAGACGCCGGCGGCGGUGCACAGGUGGAAACGCCGAGGUGAAGCACGCUGUGCCCGCCUGCCCGGAGGCGCGCAAGGACCUCGAGUCCUUGGGCUCUGCGCGCCGUCGCCAAUGCAAGUAUGCCCCGCCGUGCCCCGACAUGCUCCCUUAGCUUGGCCCGCGGUCCCUGUCCCUGGACGCAGUGUUCUUCGUCCAGAAAUCCUCCCCCAAGGCCCCAACAACGAUGAGUGGGUCCUCGUGCUGGUCUAGCGCACACACACACGUCUGCUGGUUUUCCGGCAUCUCUCACAUGGUUCGUGUCGACAUGCACUUCAUUUCCAAGCUAUCUUUCCUCUUGAGGAUUUACCACACUUCCAAACUGAAGCAACGCAUACGUGUUGCCGUGUUGGCUGUUCGAUCUGUAUCAAUGCACGUACCGUGCUAUCACAGAAUGCUAGUAAGGCUAUUCCCAAUGCACGAUUUCAUCACGGUUUCACGCACAUUAAUUAACUGACACAUCAGCUUUUGUGGUGACAUGGUAAGAAAUUGAAGAGGAGAGAGAGGAUACAGGUACGCGGAGGAAACCGCACUAGGGCUCAUGGCGUUUCUUCCGCAGAUUGCCUUUCCAUCCAGGCCCUACCCAUUCCAUUCGCGCCGCCCCUGCUCCAAUCGCGGCUUCCUCCGUGCUGUCGGCGGUGCUUCCCCGACGGAACCAGAUGCCGACCCGGGAGAAGAGAAGUGGAGCGAGCAAGCGGAAGGCGCCGCCGCCGCCAUCACCAGCACCACCGCGUCUUGGUGUGCCACCAGUACCGCCACCACAGCCGGUUCCAGCGGGAGCGCCGCCGCCGCCGCCGCCGCCGCCAUUCCCUCCGGGUCCUACUGGGCAACCGCCGCCGGCACCGCUUGCUGCAGAAUGGCAGGCCGUACCUGGUGGGAGUGGUGCGAUUCAUUCCCCUCAAGAAAACCAAUGCUCAAAUCCCUGGUACGCUCCCUCCGUUGUUCGAUUUUUGCAGUACGGAUGCUAGUGUUCAGCUUAAAAAUUGAUGAUAGUACGAAUGCCAAAUCCCUGGUACUUGUUAUUUAGUUUCUGUCCAUGUGAGAAGGUUGAGCUGCUAGAUCUUCCUGUGACUAAUCUAUCGGCCUUUUAUUUUAAUCCAUUGCUAGAUCGUCAUUUGGAUGCAAGAUCAUUUUGUUAAUCUUUAUACUUCUAUGGGACUGCAGCUGAAAACAGAUUAAAUUAUUGCUUGAUGAAUUAUACUUUUAUCAGUUUUCAGACUUAACUGUCUUGUGCGACCUGCAAAGUUUCUGUCCAUGUGUAAAUAUAGUAUGUUUUGCAGCUGUUCUGACCAUAUCAUUUAUGUAUAUUUUAGGGGAGGUUCUGUUAAUUUCUUACAACCACCACCAUUUGCUGCACCGGAACAAAAUUUUCAUUUUGUUGGACUUACUCAGAACUUUGCACCAAUCUCUCCGUCACCGCCACCACUGGCACAAGGACAAUUGAGGACCAAUGGAGGUCACCCUUGGAUGAUGAGUGAUUGACAACGUUGUGUUAGUUUGAUGUUGCUCUUGGCUUGUGAUGUGCAGGUGUAGGAUGUGACGUGGCGGUCGACGGAGUGUGGUGAAGGUCAAGCGAAAGGUUCAUGCCGAUGGACCAAGGGCGGUGAAGGAUGAACGCAAGUAGGCUUGGACCGAUGGACCCGAGGAGUCCGGGCGAAGUCACGGGCGGUUCACAUGGUGCACGGAAUGGCGAGAGGGCAUGACACGAUGGAGACGGCGUCGGUCGAGUCAAGCGGGAGGCUUGGCGGAGGCCGGACACGCGUCAAUGGACGGUUUGGGCCUCAAAACCACCGCGCAGGCAGGUUUCCCGGUUUGGGCCUCAAAACCGGGGGCGAGCCCGGUGCGGCCGGAGCUUCGAGAAGGAGGGCACGUGGCGUCAUCGCCAAGCUUGCGUCGAGGCGAAGCAAAGUCGUGAAGGCGGCGUGUCCGUCCGAUGCACGGAUAAAAACUUGGACCAAAAUACCCCUGCGUGGGUAGUUAUCUUAGUUGUAGCUGUAGGGGUAGUAUAGUCUUUCGUCCUGGACUAUAAAUAGGGAUGGGGGGCUGGUUAUUUCAGUACCUCUUUGUUUAGCAACUCAUUAUCUAUUUGCUUAGAGGCUAGUCAUGUGCUUAGAGUGAGAGGAGAGAGGGGGAUUAGGGAGUGAUUACUCUUUUCUCUUGAUUUCUUCAUCUUUAGUGGGUGGAUGAAGGGAGGAGGCUAGUCCUCAUCUUGUAUAGAAGAUGUUCUCGUGAUUUAGCUUUAUUUGUUGUCUCAAAUCGUGCUAAAUCUUUGAUUUCCGAGCGUUUUUCUUUUUCCCUAUUUUCGGAACUAUUUUUGGGGAAUUUUCGUUCAUCAUGGUUGAGCCCGAAUCUCGUGAGAUUGGUUGAAGGGAAAUGUUGCUAGGACCUAGGAGAGCAUCCGUGAUAUGAUCCCCUUUCAAAUCCCUCACGAAUCCGGCUUGAUUUUGAGUUUUUCCCAAAUCGCGUUCUUGAGUUAGGGUUUCGGUUUUCUCCAAAAUCCGUGAUGGAUACUUGAGCUUUUUGUGAUCUUUUCAUGGAUCUAUUAGCCUUUAGGGUUGCGCAUCUGUGGCUCAAGUUUCGUCUCGAUUCAUGGAGAUUUGAAGGAGAAUUUCUCGUUUGAAGUUUCAGGUGUUCUUGUGUUUAUCUGGUUUGUUCUUUCUGUUCUUGCGUUCGUGCUUCUGUUCGUGCGCGCAGGCAACCAGGUGGAGCAGCAGCAGGCCAGCAGUCCAACGGUGGUGCUGCAAAGCUGCAGCUCGUGGCCCAUCGCUAGGCGGCCCACCAGCCACAGCCCAGCAGCGACACAAGCCCAGGCAGGCCAGCACCAGGCCGCGUGCGCUACGCAGGCCAGCACCUGGUGGUCCAGCUCGUGGCUUGCAGGCCCAGCUCGCAGCCCAGGGAGCUGCUUUACGCAAAGCAAGUCAAGCCCAGCUUCUCCUAACAAGCAGGUCACCAGGAGCUUUUCAUCUACACGAGACCAGUGAGCCAAUUCUUUUAUCAUUUGUUAAUUCCAUGCCUACUUAAGUAAGUGAUUAAUAGUGUUCCUGUUUUGUCUCAUCCGUGCAAAUUUGAUAGAAUCGAUUCAUGCUAUAUUUUCGCUGUAAUUUGUACGUCUCUUAUCGUUCCUAGGGUGAGCCAGUCACGAGUUGACUUGCGUCAUCUUGACGAUUGAACGCACCGUGUGCUUUGGGGUUGCGUUUGGGACAUAGGUCUUGUUUUCGUUGAGAAUUUUUAUAGGCUCCCAUUGACCCCCCCUCUGGUCGCCCUUUCGGUCCUUCAAUUGGUAUCAGAGCCGGUUAAGGUUUCUCCAUACCCUAAUUGGUUUCGAAACCUAUUAUGGCGACCUCUGAGCGUUCUUCCUUGACCGCUGCACCCUACUUUGAUGGCUCUGAUUAUCGGUAUUGGAAAACUCGCAUGAGAGCCCAUCUAAAUAGUAGGGGAGCAGGGGUUUGGGAAAUCACUCAGGAUGUGACUUAUGUGAUUCCUGCUACUCGUGUGACUCAGGAUGAAAGGGAUAAGUAUCACGCCAACAGCAAGGCGGUUGAUAUUCUGUUUGCGAGUCUGAGUCGUGCUGAGUUCGAUCGAGUCGAAGAUCUCUCUCUUGCUCAUGAGAUUUGGUCUCGACUUCAGAGUUUCCACGAGGGAAACAGUCAGGUGAAGGCUAGACUCUUUGAGACUUAUAGGCGUGAGUAUGAGAACUUUGUUCAUUUGCCUGGUGAGUCUGCCGAUGCUUUGUUUCAGCGUUUCUUGGCUAUUGUGAACAAGAUGAAAGCAAAUAUCACCGUCUUACCCUACACUGAUCAUGAUAGAGCUUUAAAGCUCCUGCAUGCCUUGGAUCACGAAGUGUGGGGUACGAAGGUUGAUGCUAUCAUCGAGUCACCGAAUUAUGAAACACUUUCCAUUGAUGAACUAUUUGCCAAGUUGAAAUCCACGGAGGUUGACAAGAGGCUCCGAGCAAAACAAGGAGGCCCUACUGAUCCAAAUAGUAUGGCUCUCAUGUCAGGCUCUGGACAGCCUAAGUCUUUGAGUAACUCUUCUUCUAUGUCGUUUGCCUUGUCUUCUUUGGUUUCUGUUUCAGAGGAGCACCUGGAGGUUCUUGAUGAUGAUGAGCUCACCUUGAUCACGAGGCGAUUCAUGCGCUUCAACGACAACCGCAAGAACAGGCGAAGGAACAACAACAACUGCUUCGAUUGUGGCAAGCCAGGCCACUUCGCCGCCGACUGCCCCGACAAAAACAAAACCAAGAGCAAGUACGACUACAACAAACACAAGAACAAGGACGGCACCAAGAAGAAGAAGAAGUACACCGAUCGCGAGAAGAAGGAGUAUCGCAAGAAGGCCAAAGCACGUGCCUUCAUCGCCUCCCUCAGCGACGUCGACUCCGACACCGACGACCACACCGACUCAAGCUCAAGCGAGGAGGAGGACGACCGCAAGGCAAAGAAGAAGGAUGGCAAGAACUUCAAUGGCCUCUGCUUCUACUCCGACAAGAACCGCGACGGGUACUGUGUCAUGGCUCUCAACUCCAAGAAGGAUGACAAGGAAAGUGACUCCGACACAGAAACUGAGGUCGGAGGCCUGGAGAACACGUGGCUUAUUGAUUCCGGUUGCUCUUGUCACAUGACCGGUGAUUUCAGAUGGUUCUCCAGCCUCACCCCGGUGAUGACCAAGGAGUACAUCACUUUCGGGGAUAAUAGCAAAGGUAAGGUGUUGUCUGAAGGUGUUAUCAAGGUGAGUGAGAAUUUCAUGCUCAAGCGAGUUGCUCUAGUUGAUUCUCUUAGUUUCAAUUUGCUCUCUGUGUCGCAGCUGCUUGAUGAUGGUUUUGAGGUCCGUUUUAAGCAAGGGACCUCAAGGAUUUUAGACUCUCGAGGUGAUCUUGUGUGUAUGAUCGUCCCCGAGGGUCAAGUGUUUCGAGUUGAUUUUUCCAAGUCAUUUGGUCUCUCUCGGUGUUUAGUGGCUGGCUCAUCUUCUGAACUUUGGAAAUGGCAUAGGAGAUUAGGUCAUUUGAGUUUUGAUUUGCUUUCCCGCUUGAGUACUUUGGAUCUUAUUCGUGGUUUGCCUAAAUUAAAGUUUGAGAAAGAUCUUGUUUGUGCUCCCUGUCGACAUGGGAAGAUGGUUGCUGCUUCCCAUCCACCUGUGAAUCAGGUGAUGACUGAACAUCCAGGCGAGCUGUUGCAUAUGGACACUGUUGGUCCAGCUCGUGUUUGUUCAGUCGGUGGGAAAUGGUAUGUGCUUGUGAUCGUUGAUGAUUUUUCGAGGUAUUCAUGGGUUUUCUUCAUGGAAUCUAAGGAUGAGGCAUUUCCUUUUGUUCGAGAUUUGAUAUUGAGGUUGAGAAAUGAGCGACCAAAAGAUGCCAUGAGAGCUAUCCGCAGUGACAAUGGCACAAAAUUCAAGAACGCUCGUUUUAAAGCCUUUUGCAAUGAUCUUGGUCUUGAACACCAGUUUUCAUCGCCUUAUGUCCCUCCUCAGAAUGGUGUUGUUGAACGGAAGAAUCGGACCCUUUGUGAAAUGGCUAGGACGAUGCUUGAUGAGCAUAGGACUCCUAGAAAAUAUUGGGCCGAAGCCGUCAACACUGCUUGCUAUGUGUCCAAUCGAAUCUUUUUGCGAGCUUUCCUGAAGAAAACUUCUUAUGAGCUGAUGCAUCGACGUUCCCCCAAAGUGAGUCAUCUGAGGGUGUUUGGCUGCAAGUGUUUCAUUCUCAAGCAAGGAAAUUUGGAUAAAUUUGAGUCUUGUUCUACGGAUGGGAUUUUUCUUGGUUAUGCUUCUCAUAGUUGUGCUUAUCGUGUGCUUAACCUUGAAACUAACCGGAUCGUGGAAACUUGUGAGAUUACAUUCGAUGAAACUAUGCCUUGCACAACUCCUGUCUUUGAAGUUGCAGGUGAACAUGAAAUGGGGCAAAGCAUAUUUGAGGAAGAGGAAGAGCGUGUAGAUGGUGGUGAGGAAGAGGAUGAUGAGAUUGACCGAGCUCCAGCUGUUGCACCUAUACCUUCUACUUCGACUACGAGAGUUGAUGGCCCUACCUCUACUUCCACUACUUCAAGCCAUCAACUAGUACCACUACAGGAUGAAGAAGAAGAAGAUCAGAGUGAUCCAGCUGCUGUUGAGGGGGAGGCGACUUCAGAGCGAGAGGCUCCACGGCACAUUCAGCGUCGUCAUCCUCCACAACAGAUGAUCGGUAACUUACAUGAACGCACCACUAGGCACAGCUCUAGGCAGAUUUCACACUUUGCACAUUCUACAUUUGUUGCCUCUUUCGAACCCCGAGAUAUUGGACAUGCUCUAUCUGAUUCAAAUUGGGUUAAUGCCAUGCAUGAGGAGUUGGAGAACUUUGAGCGAAACAGGGUUUGGGUUUUAGUUGAACCACCUCCAAAUUGCCAUCCUAUAAGAACAAAAUGGGUUUUCAAAAAUAAACAAGGUGAGGAUGGGUUGAUUGUGAGAAACAAAGCGAGGUUGGUUGCCCAAGGUUUUAGCCAAAAAGAGGGGAUAGAUUAUGAGGAAACCUUUGCUCCUGUUGCCCGUUUGGAAGCAAUUAGAAUCCUUCUAGCCUUCUCUGUGGCUAAAGGUUUUAAGCUCUUCCAAAUGGAUGUGAAAAGUGCCUUCCUAAAUGGUUUCAUAGAGGAGGAAGUGUAUGUGAAACAACCCCCUGGUUUUGAGAGUCCUAAAUAUCCUGAUCGUGUUUUCAAACUCCAGAAAGCUCUCUAUGGCCUAAAACAAGCACCCCGAGCGUGGUAUGCUAGAUUGAAAUCCUUUUUGCUUGGGAAUGGGUUUGAAAUGGGAUCAGUUGAUAAAACACUCUUUCUCCUCAGGCAAGGCAAUGACUUAUUGAUUCUUCAGAUAUACGUGGAUGAUAUUAUCUUUGGUGGUUCUUCUCAUGCUUUGGUUGCAAAGUUUGCAGAUGACAUGAGCAGGGAGUUCGAGAUGUCGAUGAUGGGUGAGUUGACCUUCUUCCUCGGGCUACAGAUCAAGCAAAGCAAGGAAGGAACCUUCGUGCACCAAGGGAAGUACACGAAGGACGUGUUGAGGAAGUUUGACAUGGCUGAUGCUAAGCCACUCUCCACACCCAUGGGUACGACGACGGCACUAGAUGCGGAUGAAGAUGGUGAACCGGUGGACCAGAAGGAGUACAGAAGCAUGAUCGGCUCCCUCUUAUACCUGACGGCGACGAGGCCGGACAUACACUUCUUUGUGUGUCUGUGCGCUCAUUUUCAGGCUUCACCAAGGACAUCUCACCGUCAGGCAGUGAAGAGGAUCAUGAGGUAUCUCCGCUUUACCCCUGAGUUCGGUUUGUGGUAUUCUGCCUCCUCGACACUCACGCUCCGGGGAUACUCCGAUGCGGACUUUGCUGGGUGUCGCUUGGAUCGCAAGUCUACCUCGGGUACUUGCCAGUUUCUCGGUUCGUCUUUGGUCUCUUGGUCUUCUCGCAAACAAUCUAGUGUUGCUCAGUCUACCACCGAAGCUGAGUAUGUUGCUGCUGCUAGCUGUUGUUCUCAGCUGCUUUGGAUGAUUUCCACUUUGAGAGAUUUUGGUUUGGAUUUUACUCGUGUACCUCUUCUUUGUGACAGCACGAGUGCCAUUAGUGUAGCCAAGAACCCCGUUCUCCACUCAAAAACUAAACACAUUGAUGUGAGAUAUCAUUUUCUGAGAGAUCAUGUUGAGAAAGGGGAUAUUGACCUUGGCUAUGUUGCUACCCAAAACCAACUCGCAGACAUUUUCACCAAACCCCUGGAUCAAGCCACUUUUGCUCGUUUGCGGGGGGAGUUGGGUGUUUGCUUUCCUUUCUGAGUUAGGUUUUUGGAGCUUCUCUUGUAUUAUACUUGUAUCAUUUUUGUACAAAACAUGGUAGGAUAGCCACUUUUUCAUGAUAGCUUUGAGUUCUUCAUGUAUAUCUUAUCAUGCUAUUUCUGUGAUAUAUUGUGGUGGAUGAUACAUAUGAACAUCAUGUCAUGCUUUACCUUAGUUUACAUUUGGGUAUGGCAUGUUGUUCAUCUGUAUCAUUUUAGCUUAGUUUCCAUGCAUUUUGUAUCAUAUUGCAUUUUGUAUCAUGUUGCACUAGAUGAGCUUCUCCUAUAUAUCUUGUGUACUCCCUUAUGCUACUUGUGAGGUAGUGCUGUGGUUGGUGAUUUUGAUGCAAUGUGCAGUUAUGCUCUUGAUGAUAUUGUAUACUUGUUGAGAUAACUGUUUUUGAAUUUCAAUGCUAAAUUCUACUCUAUUAACUUGCUUAUCACCCAUGAGUAGAUGCUUGGUUAUGGUUUGCCCUUGGUUGAAUACUGGUUCCAUAUCUAGCUUAUGUUUGGAAUUCAUGUUCUUUUCAAUUGGGUCAAAGAUCUAGGUAUCAUUGCAAAUGUUUAGCCCAUGAUGCACCCCUUGGGGAAGCAUGGCUUCUUUGUGCCGCAAAGGCACUUCAUGUAUUUUGCUUUGUGUGAAUACUAAAAAAAAA